rnacentral:rRNA from 1 species
CAGCACCUCAAGUGGUCAGGAUGAUUAUUGGGCCUAAAGCAUCCGUAGCCGGCCCUGUAAGUUUUCGGUUAAAUCUGUACGCUCAACGUACAGGCUGCCGGGAAUACUGCAGAGCUAGGGAGUGGGAGAGGUAGACGGUACUCGGUAGGAAGGGGUAAAAUCCUUUGAUCUAUUGAUGACCACCUGUGGCGAAGGCGGUCUACCAGAACACGUCCGACGGUGAGGGAUGAAAGCUGGGGGAGCAAACCGGAUUAGAUACCCGAGUAGUCC